GAACGCUGGCGGCGUGCCUAAUACAUGCAAGUAGAACGCUGAAGAGAGGAGCUUGCUCUUCUUGGAUGAGUUGCGAACGGGUGAGUAACGCGUAGGUAACCUGCCUUGUAGCGGGGGAUAACUAUUGGAAACGAUAGCUAAUACCGCAUAACAAUGGAUGACACAUGUCAUUUAUUUGAAAGGGGCAAAUGCUCCACUACAAGAUGGACCUGCGUUGUAUUAGCUAGUAGGUGAGGUAACGGCUCACCUAGGCGACGAUACAUAGCCGACCUGAGAGGGUGAUCGGCCACACUGGGACUGAGACACGGCCCAGACUCCUACGGGAGGCAGCAGUAGGGAAUCUUCGGCAAUGGGGGCAACCCUGACCGAGCAACGCCGCGUGAGUGAAGAAGGUUUUCGGAUCGUAAAGCUCUGUUGUAAGUCAAGAACGAGUGUGAGAGUGGAAAGUUCACACUGUGACGGUAGCUUACCAGAAAGGGACGGCUAACUACGUGCCAGCAGCCGCGGUAAUACGUAGGCCCCGAGCGUUGUCCGGAUUUAUUGGGCGUAAAGCGAGCGCAGGCGGUUUGAUAAGUCUGAAGUUAAAGGCUGUGGCUCAACCAUAGUUCGCUUUGGAAACUGUCAAACUUGAGUGCAGAAGGGGAGAGUGGAAUUCCAUGUGUAGCGGUGAAAUGCGUAGAUAUAUGGAGGAACACCGGUGGCGAAAGCGGCUCUCUGGUCUGUAACUGACGCUGAGGCUCGAAAGCGUGGGGAGCGAACAGGAUUAGAUACCCUGGUAGUCCACGCCGUAAACGAUGAGUGCUAGGUGUUGGAUCCUUUCCGGGAUUCAGUGCCGCAGCUAACGCAUUAAGCACUCCGCCUGGGGAGUACGACCGCAAGGUUGAAACUCAAAGGAAUUGACGGGGGCCCGCACAAGCGGUGGAGCAUGUGGUUUAAUUCGAAGCAACGCGAAGAACCUUACCAGGUCUUGACAUCCCGAUGCUAUUUCUAGAGAUAGAAAGUUACUUCGGUACAUCGGUGACAGGUGGUGCAUGGUUGUCGUCAGCUCGUGUCGUGAGAUGUUGGGUUAAGUCCCGCAACGAGCGCAACCCCUAUUGUUAGUUGCCAUCAUUCAGUUGGGCACUCUAGCGAGACUGCCGGUAAUAAACCGGAGGAAGGUGGGGAUGACGUCAAAUCAUCAUGCCCCUUAUGACCUGGGCUACACACGUGCUACAAUGGUUGGUACAACGAGUUGCGAGUCGGUGACGGCAAGCUAAUCUCUUAAAGCCAAUCUCAGUUCGGAUUGUAGGCUGCAACUCGCCUACAUGAAGUCGGAAUCGCUAGUAAUCGCGGAUCAGCACGCCGCGGUGAAUACGUUCCCGGGCCUUGUACACACCGCCCGUCACACCACGAGAGUUUGUAACACCCGAAGUCGGUGAGGUAACCUUUUGGAGCCAGCCGCCUAAGGUGGGAUAGAUGAUUGGGGU
rnacentral:rRNA from 1 species